AUUGCUCCUCGGCCUUUUGGCUAAGAUCAUAUGUAGUGUCUGUUCUUAUCAGUUUAAUAAAUGCCACAUAGUCAGACAAGAGAUUCAUCCCAUGAAAUAUGGAAUCACUGAAGUCUCGUGGGAGAUGGCAUUCAAUGGAUAAGCACAGUUGCAACUUGGUUUGUUAUAAUACCUUGCAGGGGCUUCUGAAA